rnacentral:misc_RNA from 1 species
CUGUGCAAGAAGAGAACGAAGUCGUUUUUUCUCUCGACAUACUCUGUUUCUGCUCAAGAGCCGCUUGAAAGGAAACGUGUUUACAGUUAUACCUUUCAUUUUCACCCAUCGUCUCAACAAUGGCUGACGAAGGCGCUAUGGAUAUUCGUCUGGUGCUAAAGGGCCCAAACGGCGAGUUCAAAGUAGACCGCGACCUUUAUAUCAUUGUCCACUGUGACGAUGGCAAGUACAUCGAGGUGUCGAAAAACUACAUCAAACAGUGCCCGUUCAUUGAGGAAGCCGAGGGCGAGAUCCCAGAGUUUGGCUACCCAGCCGCGGUGCUGGAGCACCUUAUUCGCUGGGCGGUCCACUAUGGCGUAGAUGGCCAUGCCGCUAGCCAGCUGACUCGCCCAUGCAUUUACCGUGAUUUCUCUUACGUUGUGACAGACAAGUGGGAUAAUGAUUUCUUCAACCAGCGUCUUUGCUCGCCUCUGAACCAGAAGCAUUACCUCCUGACAAUGACGGCAGCUGAGCAGUUUGGCAUGCAGGGACUGCUCGACUUUAUGUGCAUCGGCCUCGGCUGCAAGCUCCGUGGCAAGGACGACAACGGCAUCAUUCACGAGGUCAUGGGCCUUGACAAAGAGACGGAGAUCACAAGCGAGGAUUUGGAGGAGGUGUCGAGGGACUACCCAUGGUUUGAUGAUGCUGUGAAGGCCACGACGAAGAAGUGAGAAAAUUAUGAAGGCAUCGGUGUCGAAAAGCGCUCUUGUUGCGCUAGUGUGUCGACAUGUGCACAAUCGAAGGAGAAAAAUCAAUAUAUGCAUACAUAUAUAUACAUAUAUAUGAAAUGUUGCGUUACGCACGGCAUUGAAAAAGGCGAUCACUAAAGUUUUUUCUGUAUAUGUUCAUCGGUAAAGUCGCAAGAAGCCAUCUAUCUUGUCUCCAAAGUUCAUUGACGGCGUAAAGACAAAAAAAAAGCACGAUCGAAGACUUAUACCUCAGCGUGGCACUCGUGGUUGAGCAACAGCAUCAUUCACGAAUAUCACACGCUAGAUGUGAGCAUAGUGGCCGAAGCAGAGAUGCGCGCAUCCUUGUGUUCGUGUCCUAUCGCCACAGAUACAGCACCAAUCAUUCCACGACCUUGUCCUCGUUUUGGUGGUGGCAAAGCCAGCAAAAAUGAGUAUGCCGCCUGUGCGCUGCUGUGUUGAAUUAUUUCGAACUCUUUCCGUGUCUAUCAUUAUUGUUUAUAUUGCAUUUGCUUUCCCCCUCACUCUAUCAUGGAUGACUUCGCACGCUGAUAUACAACCGGAUUUAUCAUUUGAUAUUCGGAUUAUUAUUAUUGUUUUUUAUCAAACACGAAAAAAAAAUGUAAAUAUAUUAUUUGUAAUUUGGCUCGCACUUGGAUCCCUGCCAAG